rnacentral:rRNA from 1 species
UUUGGAAUUAUGGACAAUGGGCGAAAGCCUGAUCCUGCGACGCCGCGUGGACGAUGAAGGUCUUCGGAUCGUAAAGUCCUUUUGCUCGGGAACAAUAUUUUGAGCGUACCGAGAGAAUAAGAGGUUGCUAACUCUGUGCCAGCAGCAGCGGUAAUACAGAGACCUCAAGCGUUAUCCGGAAUCAUUGGGCGUAAAGCGUACCGAUAGGUGGUUUUACAAGUCAGAAGUGAAAUCUUCAAGCUUAACUUGGAGACUGUCUUUUGAAACUGUAAAACUAGAGGGGCAAAGAGGAAGCUGGAACGAACGGUGUAGUAGUGAAAUGCGUUGAUAUCGUUCGGAACACCAAUAGCGUAGGCAGGCUUCUGGGUGCCACCUGACACUGCUAGGACGAAAGCGUGGGGAGCGAAUGGG